rnacentral:lncRNA from 1 species
GGUUCUCUACCUGGCCAGCGCCAUGUUGCCUGUUUCUUUACUGUACACAUGGUGACAAAGAAAAGCGAAGAUGGAGCCUCCAUGUUGAACCUACCUGGCCCCCAGAACGAUGUGUACUUGAAAACAGUACACUCUUGCACAGCUGUCCCUGGAGCUUCCCCGUGGAGCUGUUAAACUUGCCCUCCGCUGGCUGUUUUCCACAAAGUAAUAUGGUUACAUAGAUUCACGGCUCAUGGCAAUGUUUCAUUAAGACAGUUCUUGAUGGCCGCUCCACACCUUUCUCACCACAUCUCACAGGCUGCCCUGCUGAGCCAGGUCUCCCUGGAACCCGGGGCUCCUGCGCAGGCCCCCAUUUUGCUCCAGAACACCCAGGAAGGCGGGGCUUGGGCUGGAAUGGGGACACCGAUUACCCUCUGUUCAGGCCUUUGGUGCCAGCUGAGGUCGAUACUGGUGCCAGGAUCGAGACUGUGCGCAUCCCAUCGAGAGCGGGCAGAUGUGGGGGCGCACUGGACCGGGCCUCCCAGGCUGACACCCAUUCACAGCAGCCUGAGCCUAAUCCGCCACUGCUCGCCUUCCUCCGACGUCUCCACCUAAACCAUCCUUCUGCACAUUGUGACCCAUCACUCCGCCCUUUGUCCACACAUCUCCUUCCCCACACCCACAACGCGGUGGUCCCUGCCCCACAAUGCAACGGAAACCUUGCGGAGUGCUAGGCGGAAGCUGCGAGGCCUGUGUAGACACUGCCUCCGCAGGGCUGGCGCACUCCUCCGAGGGCCGACUGAGGGGUGGGUUUUUUAAGUUGCAAAAUAAAAGUUAUCGCCUGUGGGCCCUGAAGGCCUCUUUUCCACUGGAUGACAGGAAUGUGUUUGUUCAGAGAUUGUAGUCUCCCUGAACUGGAAGGGACUUUAGAAACGGUCUAUUACAACACUCUCCUCCUACAUAGAGUUGGAGAAAUUUCACCCAUGGCUGGGCAGAAUCAGGGAGGCUUACCCUUUGGUACUACAGUUUUUGGCAUUACUGCAGGAACAUAGUGUCCCAGCCAUAAUGUUAGGUAGUUAGACAUUAGCAGCUGGGAGGGGGCGAGAGAGGAGGGCAGAAGGGCUAUCACUAAGACAGGCCCUGGCCCACCUAAGUUCAGCCCCCAAGACCACCCUAACUCCACCCUGAUAGAUGCAGCUUGUGGUAAAGUCUGUGGCCAGCACAUCCUGGAG